CCUGCAACUUAGCUAUUUGAUGAAUACAGCUACUGAUUGCCGAAGAGACUUCAUGUUCUAUUUCAUCCCUUUGAACCUCAUCUAGCUCAAGCUUUGAAAGCUCCUCAAGUGAACACUCCAUUAAAGGUUUUGAGAGUCUUUGGACAUUUGAAAAUGUUCUGUCCUUUAAAUAAGCUCCACGAAUCUUUUUCAAAAAUACUAGAAGAUUAACAAUCGUUUCAUGCUGCUAACGUUAGCAAUUUGAACUCUCUGAUUAG